rnacentral:misc_RNA from 1 species
UGUUUCGGGCAGCGACGUCGCACCUCUCCUGCGAGUUGUUGGAUUCGGCACCAGUGCAGCACGGCUUCGGCCGAGACCCGGUUUUCUUUUGUGUUGAGUACCCGCGCGAAGGCACGCGUGCCUUUUGUCCCAACGGUCCCUCGUUCGUCCGGUGCUCCCCGGUCUCCGGCGGGGCACUGGUCGAAACUCGUAGCUCGGUCCGUUAACCGCGCGCGCCGCGGUGAUCGGGCACUGCUCGAGCUCUCGGAUACGGAAAGCGCCGAGGGGCACGGGCGGCUCCGCCGUCCUUUGCCCGAGCACGCGAUUGCGACGUAAAUAGAGACCCCCGAACGAACGACGGUCCCUCCCGCCUCGGCCAGGCCGUGCGGGCAGCGGACGUCGCUGAGGAAUGCUACCUGGUUGAUCCUGCCAGU